UGUGGGAGCGAGCUUGCUCGCGAUAGCGGUGUGUCUGUCACAUCAAUGCUGACUGAUCUGCCGCCAUCGCGAGCAAGCUCGCUCCCACA
rnacentral:misc_RNA from 1 species